AUUGAACGCUGGCGGCAUGCUUUACACAUGCCAGUCGAACGGUAACAGGCCGCAAGGUGCUGACACGUGGCGAACGGGUGAGUAAUGCAUCGGAACGUGCCCAGUCGUGGGGGAUAACUACUCGAAAGAGUAGCUAAUACCGCAUACGAUCUAUGGAUGAAAGCGUGGGACCGUAAGGCCUCGCGCGAUUGGAGCGGCCGAGGUUCGCUAGGGGAGUUGGUGGGGUAAAGUUUCACCAAGCCAACGAUCUGUAGCUGGUCUGAGAGGACGACCAGCCACACUGGAACUGAGACACGGCCCAGACUCCUACGGGAGGCAGCAGUGGGGAAUUUUGGACAAUGGGCGCAAGCCUGAUCCAGCAAUGCCGCGUGGAGGAAGAAGGCCUUCGGGUUGUAAACUGCUUUUGUACGGAAGGAAGCGGCUCUGGUUAAUACCCGGGGCUAAUGACGGUACCGUAAGAAUAAGCACCGGCUAACUACGUG
rnacentral:rRNA from 1 species